rnacentral:rRNA from 1 species
UGAGGAAUAUUACACAAUGGACGAAAGUCUGAUGUAGCGACGCCGCGUGAGGGAAGAAGUUCUUCGGGACGUAAACCUCUUUUAUGUGGGAAGAAAAAUCGUUAUGCUAAUAUCAUAGCGACUUGACGGUACCAUAAGAAUAAGCCCCGGCCAACUACGUGCCAGCAGCCGCGGUAAAACGUAGGGGGCAAGCGUUGCUCGGAAUCACUGGGUUUAAAGGGCUCGCAGGCGGGCAUAUAAGUCGUGGGUUAAAUCUCCGAGCUCAACUCGGAUACGCCUGCGAUACUGUAUGCCUCGAGAGAGAGAUAGGAAACGGGAAUUCCCGGUGUAACGGUGGAAUGUGUAGAUAUCGGGAGGAACACCAAUAGCGAAGGCAAGUUUCUGGCUCUCUUCUGACGCUCAUGAGCGAAAGCGUGGGUAGCAAACA